CGCAUCUUGCGCUCCUUGGUAUUCCGAGGAGCAUGCCUGUUUGAGUGUCAUUAAAUUAUCAACCUCACCACCAUCUUGUGGUCUGGCUUGGAAGGUGGGAGUGGUGCAGGCUUUUCAAGUCGGCUCUCCUGAAAUGCAUUAGCGGUGCUCUCGAGCACAGAGCUCUUGGUGUGAUAACUAUCUACGCCACCAGCCUGUCUCGAACCGCUUCUUGAACCGUCCAUUGACUUGGACAAUUGACAACGAUCAAUUUUUGACCUCAAAUCAGGUAGGACUACCCGCUGAACUUAA
rnacentral:misc_RNA from 1 species